UGCAUGCAUAUGGCAGAAUUGCUCACUACA
rnacentral:piRNA from 1 species